AAGUGUUCCAGUGCUCGCUUACUGGAAUGAUAAGGGAAGAUGAUCAUGACCCCUGCACAAGGAUGACACACAAAUUCUCGAAGCCAUUAUUUU
rnacentral:snRNA from 1 species